UACGGGGGGAGCAAGCGUUGUUCGGAUUUACUGGGCGUAAAGGGCGCGUAGGCGGCUCUACAAGUCACUUGUGAAAUCUCCGGGCUUAACUCGGAACGGUCAAGUGAUACUGUCGAGCUAGAGUACAGAAGGGGCAACUGGAAUUCUCGGUGUAGCGGUGAAAUGCGUAGAUAUCGAGAGGAACACCUGCGGCGAAGGCGGGUUGCUGGGCUGACACUGACGCUGAGGCGCGAAAGCUAGGGGAGCGAACGGG
rnacentral:rRNA from 1 species